UACGUAGGGUGCGAGCGUUGUCCGGAAUUACUGGGCGUAAAGAGCUCGUAGGUGGUUUGUCGCGUUGUCCGUGAAAUCUCACGGCUUAACUGUGAGCGUGCGGGCGAUACGGGCAGACUUGAGUACUGCAGGGGAGACUGGAAUUCCUGGUGUAGCGGUGGAAUGCGCAGAUAUCAGGAGGAACACCGGUGGCGAAGGCGGGUCUCUGGGCAGUAACUGACGCUGAGGAGCGAAAGCGUGGGGAGCGAACAGG
rnacentral:rRNA from 1 species